AACAUUUUUAAAACAUUUGUCUCUUUUAUAUAUUUGAAAAUGAAACUUAAUCUGACUUAAAAUCGGGAAAUGAUUUUUUUAACUUCUUUUACUUUUAGAAGAAUAAUAAAAUGUCGAAAUAUACAAACAAAUAAGUACCGUAUGAAGCCUUUGUAAACAAAUAUCAAGCUGGUUGAAAACUAGUGGUUUGGAUAAACCCCAAGAACGACACAUAAUUUUCUCUCUCUCAAUUCCAUCGUAUUGUUUUAGUGAAACCAUUUGUAUAUAUACACG
rnacentral:lncRNA from 1 species